GCCUUGUUCGGCAUCGCAGACGCGCCGACGUAACCCUCCCCCCUCCUUCUCCCUCUUCCCCGCCCACGCUGCGCGCUGCAGUACACACAAGCAGAGCAACGGUCAAGCUUUUUCGUUUGUGCCGCAGCACUGCCUGCGCGAGCACACCACCCAUCCCUCCCAUCUCUCCCCGAUAUACGGUCGAUCAAACGUAGUAUUACCCGUCGCACAUUCUUGCCUGCCCUUCUGUGAGCAUCACCCACUUUCACCGUUUUGUAUAUCGCUGUGUUUCUUUCCGUGUGUGUAUGCGCGUGCGUGCGUGUGUGUGUGUGUGCACACGUGCUGGGGUUGCGCGCAUCUGUAUCUCGAUCUGCGAGAGGGAGCGUCUUCGUCUGUGCAGGUCACCGGACUCCAGCCCUCUGACAUUGAUCCUCAUCUCUGUUCAAUCUUCCUUGCGGGGUCCUGCUCCGCGCUGGCAGCCCUGCCUUCGUGACCCUCCCUUUUGUUGCUUAACGUCGUAUUGAGCGCCUCCUUGCCAGCCGAUACCCUGCCGCCUUCCCCCCCUCAUCGUUUUCACGACGUCAUACACGCAGAUUUUUGAGGGCACACCUGCACCCCACCCCUGAAAAAAGAAGUAAGAGUAGACUUUCGUCUUUGUCGUGCGCUCUUUCUGAUAUUGCCGUACCGGCCCACCCUUUCCUUCGCCUCACUACUCAAGCACACGCACAGGCGUACGUAGACACGAGUGUGUGUGUGUGUGCAUCUCUGCCAUCGAUCCCCGUUCCCCCCCCCUCCUCCAUCGGGCUUCUCAGCCACGACCCUCUGCUUCGAUUCGUUCUUGUGCUUCGCCGCCCGCCCCUCGCCUCUGCACCAUGUCGGAGUGGUGGCACUGGAGCGUCAGAGGCGCCAACCCUUUCGUAGACUUCUCCACGGUCUGGAUCGAGCCCCUCAUCCAGAAUGCUGUCGAUUUCAGCCACCGCAUCGAGCCGGAUGUGCUCUGCACACUCGCCUACCUCGCCUGCAUGGGGUCCGCGUACCUGUUCCACUCGCCCUUUCGCGCCCACUCAACCGCGGCCAUGGACACGUACGGCCGCGUGACGAAGGUGUUUCAAACCUGGAGCGCCAUCAUCUUUUUCUGCUUCCACCUUGGCCCGCAGUUUUUCAAGGAGAAGCAACAGGAAAUGAGCAACGCGCACGCACAGGACACGGGGCCGAUCCUCUUCUUUCCGCUCUUCAUUAUCUUUACCAUCUGGUUCAGCUUCAUACACAAAAUGAAGCGGCGUUGGGGCCUCGGCCUCACUUAUGGCAGCCGGUUCUCCGUCAUCGCCCUCAACUCCCUUGUCCUCGCGGCCCUCGGCACGAUGCACUACGCGUACUGCUACACCCUUCACGAAAACGCGUCCCACCACGUCUGGCGGUCCAUCUUGUACUACCUGAUGCCCAGUUCCGUCGCCACACAGCCGUUUUGGUGCGUCUCAAAGCUGCUGUGCUUGUCGGCGUGCUUCAUCGUGGCGGACUACCACUACAAGAAGUGGAUGGGGUUCGACCCCGCCCGCGGCAUCCUGUGGGCGGAGCUGUACGAGUUGAACAAGAGGCUGUACAAGGAGGCGCUCAUGACGGAGAAUGACGGCAAGGAGGAUCGGCGAGACUGGAGAGAGCUGGUGGCGCCGCCGCGGGUGUACGCGCCUGCCGCGCUAAGUAGCCGCUCCACCGCCGUCCAGGCAGCCGCGGCUGUGGCGGCUGGGGUGCCAGCCGCGCACACGCCACACACACCGCGAACUCUGUAUCACGAAUGCCCACCGGACGUGAACCUGGACUUGCUGGAGUCGUCGUACGCCGCAGAUGACGCGGACCUGUGCCGCAUCUGCGGCGGCGGCGGCGACGGUGGCGUAUCGAUGACGAGUGCGAGGUCGACCUUGUCGACCUCCGCGGCUGAAGGUUCUUCGUUGCCGCACGCCCCCUUCGCUGGAGCGAUCGGUAGAGUGGUGAGCACGAAGGGCCACAGCCGCCCCACCCUACCUGCUCUCAUGUCUUUUCGAGCACCGCAGCUCAUGGUGAAGGAGGCGCAGAAGGCGCAGCACCCGGUGAACCGGCCAGGCAUGGUGCCGUGGUGGUCGACGUUUGUGCUCUUCACAGCGUGGCAGACCGUGGCAGGCGCAACGCUGCGUUUCCUUGCCUUUGACGUGCGCACGAUUCAGGGCUACACGACCCCCAAAAUCUUUCACCUACACUUCUCUGCUUCGCUGCGGGACACCGUGCGCAGUGCCGCGGAGGCGUUCGGCCGCUCCACGACCACGCACCCGCGUGCCAGCUGCGACACCAGUGCCAGCUCCCAUAGUUUCGGCAGCCUCGAUGCGACGGAGGGGCAUGCAGCGGCUUCACGCGGUGGCGAGGAUAAGGGUGUGCGCAGGGCGAACGGCAGCGUCGGAGAAAGCUGUGCCCCUGCAGCUGCAGCGACGUCGCCCCACACUGUGCCUGAUGUGUGGUUCGAUUGGAUCGCUGACGUUGGGGAUGGCUUCAACCCAACUUACGCCAUGGCCCGCCUCCUCGCGCAGCCGAUAUUGCGGUUGCCCUUGAAGGCCGCCAGCCAGGCAAAGCGGUGGCGGCGAUUUGCGCGUGGCCAGCACAAAGUCACGAGCACCUGCAGCUGCGACCUCCCCUCAGUCAUGGCCGCUGGCAGCGUAUCGGUGCCGUCUACGCCCACGGCACGCACGCGAGCUGAGGCGGCGAAGGCGGCGGCUGCGCUGAAGCUGCGACGUGCCGCGUCUUUUUCGAGCAUCAGCUACUCGGACAGGGAUGACGCAGACACAACGACCACCGCGACACGCACAUCGCCACCGUCGCGCUCUGCAAGGACGAGUGCCGCCGCCGCUGAAGGGUCGUCAUUGAGCCCCGGGGAAGGCGCCGAGGAGGAUCCCCGGGUGGACGGAGUGGCCACCACAGACGCCGUCGUUUUCAACAUCUCGGCUCACUCGCAGGGCACACAACGCCGUCGAACCGCUUCGCACGACGGUCAGAGUGCCAAGCACACUCCAUUUCGAUCACUGCUGAAGGUGGGGAAGGACGGCUUUGUGACGCUGCCGCGUGGGUCUUUUGUGCUGGUUGGCGGCGACCUCGCCUAUCCCAGCCCUAACGACGAGACGUACACGACGCGCCUGUUUGAGCCGUACCACGACGCAAUGAGCAGCAACGUGCGGCUGCAGAGCGUGUUCCACGCGGAGCAGCGGCGCGUGGUUGUCGCGGACGCGAGCGACGCGGACGUUGCCCACAUACACCUGUUGGACGCUGAGACGGUGUCUAGGAUGGCGACGGGGCGUGCUGCGCUGCGGACGGGGCGCGCGACGGCGGAGGAGGCGCUGCGGAGCGUGCCGCUGCUGUUCGCGAUCCCCGGCAACCACGACUGGUUCGACGGGCUGACGACGUACCGCAAGUACAUCCUUGAGCGGACGUGGAUAGGCGGGUGGCUGAUGCCGCAGCGAAGCAGCUUCUUUGUGCUGCGGCUGCCGCACAACUGGUUCGUGCUGUGCGGCGACACGGGCAACAUGCAGGACAUCGACGUAGCGCAGCGCAACUACUUCCUAGACGUAAUCGAGAAGUGCAUGGACGCGGAGAGCUGCGUGAUCCUGGCGGCGCACGAGCCGGGCUGGGUGCUCGACGCCAUGGAGAGGGAUGACAAGGCGCGGCAACCAGAGCUGAACCGUGUUGCCGAGGCCCUCGGCACGCGCCUGCGUCUGCGACUGGCGGGCGACAUUCACCACUACUCCCGCCAUACGCCGCGCGACGCCAGCUCGGAGGCUGCGACGCUGGUAGUGAGCGGCGGUGGUGGCGCCUUCCUGCACGGCGCGCGCAACGACGCCAUCAUCUCGCAGGGAACGAGGUACGUGCGCGCCUGCGCCUUCCCGGAGCAGAACACGUUCAUGAACAUGGCCUCGCGCCUGUGGGGCUUCCGAGUGAUCAACUGGAAGUUUGACUUGGUUGUCGGCUUCUUGUGCUUUGUUCUCCUCCUGUCCGUGCUGCCGCUGCCGAUGGAGCUGGACCUGAGCAGCCGCGGCACUACCGGCGGCGGUGGGGGCAAGAUGCGGCUGGCGCAGGUGUUUUCCCUCUGGGUGGGCUACACGACGGAGAUCAUGUCGCACGUCAUCACGCGCGGCGUUAUCUCACUCGUCCCACUUGUCUUCUUUCUGGUGUGCUUUUCAUUCGCCGGCGCGGACCGCCAUGCACCCCUGCUCUGGCGUCUGUGCUACGGCGGCGGGUGGGCCUUCGCGGUGCUACUCUGCUGCUCCGGCGCCAUGGCCUUCCUGCAUGUGCAGCUCUUGUACCUGAUGGGCCACGACUUGCUCCAAUCAGCUGGGGGGCAUUGGGGCACCG
rnacentral:misc_RNA from 1 species